rnacentral:rRNA from 1 species
AAAUAAAUACAUAAGGGCGUAUGGUGGAUGCCUAGACAUAAAAAGACGAUGAAGGACGCAGUCCGGCUGCGAAAAGCCUCGGGGACCUGCCAAACAAGGUUUGAUCCGGGGAUAUCCGAAUGGGGUAACCCGCGCUGACUAAUAUCGGCGCAUCUAUAUCUAAAUACAUAGGAUAUGGAAGAAAACCAGGUGAAGUGAAACAUCUCAGUAGCCUGAGGAAAAUAAAGAAAUAAGCGUAUCCUAAUGAUUUUGCUGGUCCCGCUCGGGAUUAGUGAAACAUUAGUAUAUCUCUAUUCCCUAAGUAGUGGCGAGCGAACGGGGAGAAGCCCAAACCCAGCACCAAGUUUUAUGCGACAGUAUUAUUCAAUAAUUUAUUUCAAAAAACUAAGAUAAAUUUAUUGAUAAAAACUGUUUUGUAAAACUUGGUGCUGGGGGUUGUAAGGUAAUAACGCGACUUUUAUUAGUCAAGAAGUUUAUAAAUAUGUAUCUUGGUUAGUUAAAUAAGCUGGAAAGCUUAACCAAAGAGGGUGAUAGUCCCGUAGAUGAAAACCGAUACAAACUUCUUGUUAUUAUCCUUGAGUACCAUAGGACCAGAGAAAUCUUAUGGGAAACCGGCAGUCCUACUAAAACGUCGGGCGCUCAAAUGAGCGUUUGGCGCUGCCAAGGCUAAAUACUUUUUAUGAUCGAUAGUGAACGAGUACCGUGAGGGAAAGGUGAAAAGCAUCCCGAAAGGGAGAUGAAAUAGUAUCUGAAACCAUACGCUUACAAAGAGUGGGAGCCCCGCACCAAGUUUUAUAAGAUAAUUUUUAUCAAUAAUUUAGUUUAAUUUUCUUUAAAAUAAAUAUUGAGUGAAAUUGUCUUAUAAAACUUGGUGCGGGGUGACCGCGUGCUUUUUGUAGAACGAGCCAACGAGUUUGCUGUAUGUUGCGUUAAGUUAAGUUCGACAGAACGAAGCUAAAGUGAAAGCGAGGGUUAAUAGCCCGCAAGUAGCAUACACAAUACACGAAACCGGGUGAGCUAGCCAUGGUCAGGGUGAAGCUGCGAGAAUAUCGCAGUGGAGGCCCGUACCCACCAGCCGUGUAAUACUGGGGGAUGAACUGUGGUUAGGGGUGAAAUUCCAAUCGAACUCGGUGAUAGCUUGUUUUUCCCGAAAUAGCUAUUGGGCUAGCGCUGCAUUUACCUGCUAGAGGUAGAGCUCUGGUUGGAGCCAGAGGGGGCAACCUACUCUCUCCAAAUAAACUUCGAAUUCUAGUCAGUCAAUUGUGCAGUAGUCAGAACUCCGGUGCUAAGAUCGGAGCUCAAAAGGGGAACAGCCCAGAUCGUAGUCUAAGGUCCCUAAAUCCAAAUUAAGUGGUAAAGGAAGUGGUUUUUCUAUGACAGGUAGGAGGUUGGCUCAGAGGUAGCCAUCCUUUAAAGAGUGUGUAACAACUCACUUCUCGAUUAUGAGAGAUUGCGCCGAAAAUAUAACGGGGCUAAAUUUGGUACCGAAGACACGAUUCGUCCGUGCCUCACUAAUGUUCAGCACGAACUCAUUUUAACAUAUUAACAUACUAACAUUUUAACAUUGUUUAAAUUAAACUCUUGUUAAAAUGUUAAAAUGUUAAAAUGUUAGUAUGAGUCCGUGGCGAACGAUAGUGAGACACGGACGGAGGUAGGGAAACGUUCUAUAGGCGUUGAAGCAGUAUCCGCGAGGAACUGUGGAGCGUAUAG